CAGCAGCCGCGGGAAUACGGAGGAUCCAAGCGUUAUCCGGAAUCAUUGGGUUUAAAGGGUCCGUAGGCGGUCUUGUAAGUCAGUGGUGAAAGCCCAUCGCUCAACGGUGGAACGGCCAUUGAUACUGCAGGACUUGAAUUAUUGGGAAGUAACUAGAAUAUGUAGUGUAGCGGUGAAAUGCUUAGAGAUUACAUGGAAUACCAAUUGCGAAGGCAGGUUACUACCAAUUGAUUGACGCUGAUGGACGAAAGCGUGGGUAGCGAACAGGAUUAGAUACCCGGGUAGUCCCUGUCUCUUAUAC
rnacentral:rRNA from 1 species